rnacentral:rRNA from 1 species
AGCGAACGCUGGCGGCAGGCCUAACACAUGCAAGUCGAACGAAGUCUUCGGACUUAGUGGCGGACGGGUGAGUAACACGUGGGAACGUGCCUUUAGGUUCGGAAUAACUCAGGGAAACUUAUGCUAAUACCGAAUGUGCCCUUCGGGGGAAAGAUUUAUCGCCUUUAGAGCGGCCCGCGUCUGAUUAGCUAGUUGGUGAGGUAAAGGCUCACCAAGGCUACGAUCAGUAGCUGGUCUGAGAGGAUGACCAGCCACAUUGGGACUGAGACACGGCCCAAACUCCUACGGGAGGCAGCAGUGGGGAAUCUUGCGCAAUGGGCGAAAGCCUGACGCAGCCAUGCCGCGUGGAUGAUGAAGGUCUUAGGAUUGUAAAUUCCUUUCACCGGUGAAGAUAAUGACUGUAGCCGGAGAAGAAGCCCCGGCUAACUUCGUGCCAGCCGCCGCCGUAAAAC